GAGGGUACAGCUAAAGUGGUAGAGUGCAUGCUUAGCACACAUGUGGUCCUGGGUUCAAUCCCAGUACUUCCU
rnacentral:tRNA from 1 species